UACGUAGGGUGCGAGCGUUAAUCGGAAUUACUGGGCGUAAAGUGUGCGCAGGCGGCGCCGCAAGUCGAGUGUGAAAGCCCCGGGCUUAACUUGGGAAUUGCGCUCGAAACUAUGGUGCUGGAGUGUGGCAGAGGAAGGUGGAAUUCCACGUGUAGCGGUGAAAUGCGUAGAGAUGUGGAGGAACACCGAUGGCGAAGGCAGCCUUCUGGGCCAAUACUGACGCUCAUGCACGAAAGCGUGGGGAGCAAACAGG
rnacentral:rRNA from 1 species